CCCUCCCCCCUUCUUCAUGCCUAACACAUGCAAGUCGAACGAGACCUUCGGGUCUAGUGGCGCACGGGUGCGUCACGCGUGGGAACCUGCCCUUAGGUUCGGAAUAACUCCCCGAAAGGGGUGCUAAUACCGGAUAAUGUCUUCGGACCAAAGAUUUAUCGCCUUUGGAUGGGCCCGCGUUGGAUUAGCUAGUUGGUAGGGUAAAAGCCUACCAAGGCGACGAUCCAUAGCUGGUCUGAGAGGAUGAUCAGCCACACUGGGACUGAGACACGGCCCAGACUCCUACGGGAGGCAGCAGUGGGGAAUAUUGGACAAUGGGCGGAAGCCUGAUCCAGCAAGGCCGCGUGAGUGAUGAAGGCCUUAGGGUUGUAAAGCUCUUUUACCCGGGAUGAUAAUGACAGUACCGGGAGAAUAAGCGCCGGCUAACUCCGUG
rnacentral:rRNA from 1 species